rnacentral:rRNA from 1 species
CAGCCGCCGCGGGAAUACGGAGGGUGCGAGCGUUAAUCGGAAUUACUGGGCGUAAAGCGUACGCAGGCGGUUUGUUAAGUCAGAUGUGAAAUCCCCGAGCUUAACUCGGGAACUGCAUUUGAAACUGGCAGGCUAGAGUCUCGUAGAGGGGGGUAGAAUUCCAGGUGUAGCGGUGAAAUGCGUAGAGAUCUGGAGGAAUACCGGUGGCGAAGGCGGCCCCCUGGACGAAGACUGACGCUCAGGUACGAAAGCGUGGGGAGCAAACAGGAUUAGAUACCCGCGUAGUCCCUGUCUCUUAUAC